CCUACGGGAGGCAGCAGUGGGGAAUUUUGGACAAUGGGCGCAAGCCUGAUCCAGCAAUGCCGCGUGAGUGAAGAAGGCCUUCGGGUUGUAAAGCUCUUUUGUCAGGGAAGAAACGGCCGAGGCUAAUACCUUUGGCUAAUGACGGUACCUGAAGAAUAAGCACCGGCUAACUACGUGCCAGCAGCCGCGGUAAUACGUAGGGUGCAAGCGUUAAUCGGAAUUACUGGGCGUAAAGCGUGCGCAGGCGGUUUUGUAAGUCUGACGUGAAAUCCCCGGGCUCAACCUGGGAAUUGCGUUGGAGACUGCAGGGCUGGAGUCUGGCAGAGGGGGGUAGAAUUCCACGUGUAGCAGUGAAAUGCGUAGAGAUGUGGAGGAACACCGAUGGCGAAGGCAGCCCCCUGGGUCAAGACUGACGCUCAUGCACGAAAGCGUGGGGAGCAAACAGGAUUAGAUACCCUGGUAGUCCACGCCCUAAACGAUGUCUACUAGUUGUCGGGUCUUAAUUGACUUGGUAACGCAGCUAACGCGUGAAGUAGACCGCCUGGGGAGUACGGUCGCAAGAUUAAAACUCAAAGGAAUUGACGGCUGAGACGNGCGACGACGACGACGAGGGAGGAGG
rnacentral:rRNA from 1 species